rnacentral:lncRNA from 1 species
CUGUUCUAAACGUUUCACACCAUCGAUGCUGAAACGCAGCUUUUGAUGGUACGUGAACGGGACGGUUAUUCGCGUCGACAGGGGAUGAGAACGCUGGUCGGACCUGUGUCACUUCCGGACCUGGUUGGUGACGUGCACUGGGCUGUAUAUCUGGCAUGCGUCUCCUUUCAGUUGCCAGAGAAUUUGCUUAUUCCGCCGUAUUCCGGAAGCCAAUAUCUAUCUACAUCGGUACCCACUAGGCGCCGUUACUCGUCCACAAGUCUGCAACUGUGGGUCAUGAGGUCAGUGGCAUGCUCUUUGGCUUGUCAUAUGUUGGGUAGACCAACCACACAUGUCGACAGUCUUCAGAAGACAUCGCUUGCGCAAGUAGGCAGUGUCGCAGGACUAGUUGUCACUCUUGCAGUAGGAAGAACCGAAGGGCCUCUCGCUAGUUUAUUUCCGGGAAUGGUCGAACGUGCAUUUUCCAACUGGCGUGGGAAGAAUGUAAGACUAUUUGGUGUCAGUUCCAUUAAUACACUCAGCCACAAUCUUCGUGGAAGUACGCACCCUGACGUGCUGAGGAAAUGCUGCUGACAAAUCACUGCUCUAUUUGCGGGGUUGCUUUUAUGAAAUACGUCCUCAUAUGCAGUAUUCUAGUGUUAGCAUUCUUUCAGAUAACGUCUGUUUGUGUUGGAUCUCACGGUGCAAGCUCCGAGAGCGUACUUACUGAUGAAGAACAUCUCGUACGCAAAUUUUGAUUCAACAAUAGAAUGUUCCUUUCGGUGACUGGAUGUCAGCUACAAAAGCACAACUUCCUUCAACAGGCGCAUGGUGGAAACGGAAGAUCGUUACGAUUUCACGUUGACAUACGUGGAGGCACGUACCAUCCUGAAAGCAGCGAACUAAAUGAAGCAAGCCGGCAAGCUGGCGCGCAAGCGAUAGCAGAAGAUGGGCUUAGACGCUCAUUAUCGUGACCGCUGCUCGACGAUGGCGAAAGCUGAUUUUGUGGUAAACGACGCGGUUAUUUGCAUCUUCACUUCGACACGAACAGUGUUCGGUGUUGUUCACGGCGUCAGCGCGUUCUGCUGGAAGGACACAGAAGGAUUUCAUUGCUUUGCGCUCGGACCGAUGUCGCACGGUGAACAUGGGAGUGAGUGGAUAUCAUUCUGAUCGUACACUGCAGGCGAUCCGUUGUCUUUGUUGUAUGUCACGGCCAAAACUAGAGUACUUUUUCCCGGUGACUUCUACAAACAAGGAAGCUUUGCGCAGCAAUGAUUCACUCUGAUAUAUCAACGAGAGGGAUGGAUAUACGUACCGACGUGUUGUACGGGCUCCGUGGUUCUCUAUUCUUGUGGCUGUGAUGUCGCACUUCCGAUUGUAGAGAUUGAAGCUGGGGGAUGCAGUGGCAAAAUGUAUACUUCACCGGCAAACAUGCAAACUACCUCGUGUUCAGCUCACGUGUACGAGGACAGAUUGCGUCAUUGUUAUAGUGCGGAUCCUUUCGUCCUUUUAUGACGUGAAAUGCAUAUUCCGUAGCUUCUGCCGCUAAAGAUUGACUGGAACUGUUUCCCUUUAUGUCUUCGUGAAGAUUGUGAGCGGUGACGUGGGCGCAGUGACGUCCCCCUGAUAGAGUCCAGUGACGGACAUGACUGCAUUCUGCAACUACGUCGAGGCACCAGUUGCUCAGGAAUGUUUCUGGGAGUUUGGUGCUGGCCACAAAGACGACAGAACCUGAUUACUGUUGUAGCGCUGGUCGGUGGCACCCCGCCGUGCAAGAGAAAGAGCCCGCUUGCGUGGUAGGACGACUGGGCUGUCACCGUCUUUCAAGUGCGAGCUAACAUUUCGACGCCGAACUACAGGAACAUUGUCUUUUUUGGUCCAGUAGCAAUCGGAUAUAUCACUGACCGGAGAAGCACGAACAUCGUACGGUUCGUCCUGGAAAGGCAGCUGUUGAUGCUGUGCAGGUGCAAUGGCAGGUUCAUGUAGCAAAACAGGAAGAGUUAACAAGAACAGGUACUGGGAUCCGGGUAGUUGACACCGAGCACCGUGAAAAAGGGGCACCCAGCCAUGUACUUGACGCCUCAACGCCAAUAGGUCUCGUUUGAAUUCCUUUUGCCACAUGGCUCAGCAAAUCCCGCCACAAUGAAGGUAUUACUUAGAGAAGCCAUCGAACGGGGGCUUGACUGUGUAUCACUUCGAUCUCCAGAAAAGUGUUUCAGGCUUAAAGGCAUAGCAUCCUGAUCGUAACUGUUGAUUGUGGUACACCAUUUUCUCCCGAGUCGUAACUGUGGUAGCGUCACUGUGGGCAGCCACUUCCACCCUUCCUACGCUGCAAUCAACGGAAACCAUAAUUGUCGGUCUUGCAUUCACACAUUGGCGUUUCUUGCCCCUGUAGCAAGUAAGAGUUUCUUGCUGUAAGAAACAAAUCCAAACCUCAUCAACGUCAAGAUAGGAACAUCGCUGAACCAUAAGAUAAUGCCGUUUCUGCGAUGCAUAGUCGCAUACAUCACAGCGCAUG